CUUGGCUCCAACAACCAAAAAAUAAAGAAGAUUUAUGGGCUCCGAUUAAAAAUAAUUCAACCUAAUUUCUUCCCCUUUUGCUCUCCUUCUCUCUUCUUUCACGGUAUCUUAGUAUCUUACUGUCCUUGCUCCUAAUCUCAGCAUCGAAUCACAAAAACCAGCAAAUGCCUAGCCAUCGUCAUCGUUUAACUGUUAGGGAUUUAGGUCUUUGAUUGGUCUAAAGCUGUUGAUUUUGGGUUUCCGUUAGUUGUUUCUCUUAGUUUAAUCGAUUUUAGUUUCAAUUCAUUUGUAGCUAGAAUUCAUUAAAGGAUCUCGUAUUCAUCGUCACUCUCAUCUCCGGUUCCAACAGGUAAAUUCGAUUAUGUGAUGUAUUUUCCUAACAGGUUACGAGAUUCGAUUCUCUAUUGUUGUAAUUUGUUUGUAUUGAUUUUGAUGUCUUUUGCGAUAAAGAUUGCUUGCUGUUUGAGCGCAUGAUUACUGGGCGCUGUGAUGGCUUCGUAGGCUUUAACACUCCCAAUUGUUUUUUUUUUUUUUUCUCUCAUUUUUGGCUUGAAUAACGAAUUUGGAGUUUGAUUUUAUUUGUUGCUCAGACUCAUAUUCAUGAAAGGUUGAGGUUCAGUAGCUAUGGGUUCAUAAUUUCUAAUUUUGCUUUACCUCUCCUUAGUGAUGUGAUAAAGACUUUAGUGGAAAAGCAUUUGGAGCUUUGAAUGUGUGCUCUAAGAGACUAAGAUUCAUAGUUCGUUCUUAUUGGUGUAAGAACUCAAUCUCUUCUGCUGAUUAGUCAGGUGCUAGUUGGCUUAUCCAGCUUGAAGUAUGUGCAUUUACAGAUUAUGUCAUCUUAUAUCACCCAAGCGAUCAACAAUUGCUUGAAUCAUGUGUGGGAUGAGGAACUGAGCUUGAAGCGACUACUCAGUUCUCGUUUUCUCUUCUGAACUCGUCGAUGGCGGCUUCCGUUCUUCUCAAUCAUGUGUGGCAAAGUAGUAGCUCAAUCUCUCUAAUCAGUCGGGUUGCAGACUUGCAGGGUUUCAGAUCCAAUUUUGUUUUGAGUUUUGGACUUCAUUAUUGUUUAUCCCUUCUUGUAAGAACUUUUGAUGAUUAGAAGUGAUGACAAGCCUUUUAGAUUCUCCAUGAAGUUGUAAGAUGAGAAAUUUCAUGAGUACAUAAAAACUUCUGUCAGAAAACGAGUUUAUGCUUCGUUAA